AGAACCAUGAUAAUUACCAACCGCCUGUGAGAAAAUUAAACAAAAGGCCCAACUUUUAAACCACCAUUUUAAACGACCUAUUACAUCUCAGAAAUAAAUCAUUGAGGAAAUAGCCUGCUUAACAGGAAAAUAGCUAUUCCAUAGCAAAGAAUUUCCCCUUGUGUGAUCAUGAAGAGAAUAUUAAGUAUUCUUCAGCUCAAAAGACUGCCAAAAAGUUCUAUGGCACAAGAAGUUUGAGAACUAGUGCUGUGGAUACCAUCUAUACAGCAAAGCACUAUGCUUCUGACGAUAGACCCUGCUUUCCUAAUUGAUCAAGAGAUAAAUAAGUGAUUCCAGCUG
ensembl:lncRNA novel transcript